UCUUCGAAGCACGUUAGGCGCAUCCCUUUUUCUGUUCAUCGCAACUUCGAUGUAACGUUUGUUAAUUCUACAGAGAAUCUUCCAUCGAUAUGUUUACUGCUGCAACGACAAAGGCGACGGAGAUUUCUAGCCUAGUACAGCUGCUGAAACGGUUUAUCCGAGCCGGGAAGAAGCCCACCGACACGUACCCACUGCAAACACGAGAAAAUCAGCAGGACCGAGCAUAUCGCGAGCGCAACGUCGCGAACUGCGAGAAGAGGCGAUCUACGAGACGAUAAGAGACCCGAUGAUCGUUCCCGCGAUCGAAAGAUUGUGCUUCGCUCUCGAAAGAAAUCGGCGCCCGAUCGUUGUCCGAGGUGAUAAGUUAUUUUCGGUGUCGAAUCCCAAGGCUAGUCGGUUUAACGGUCUAAUUAACAGUUUACGAUUUAAUUAACAGUCCCGUGUCCAGUCGAGCCAUUACCAGGGUCUUUGCACGAUACGCCUUAUUGACCGUACGUUUUAUCGAGAACUUUUCUGCUGCGUUCCCCGAGUAUGUUGCGCAACGACCAGGGAUCCCGUACGUGGCCGUUCGUGUCGACACGCGCGUCUUCCAAAUCACCAAC